UACGGAGGGGGCUAGCGUUGUUCGGAAUUACUGGGCGUAAAGCGUACGUAGGCGGCUUUGUAAGUUAGAGGUGAAAGCCCGGAGCUCAACUCCGGAAUUGCCUUUAAGACUGCAUCGCUUGAAUCAUGGAGAGGUUAGUGGAAUUCCGAGUGUAGAGGUGAAAAUUCGUAGAUAUUCGGAAGAACACCAGUGGCGAAGGCGACUAACUGGACAUGUAUUGACGCUGAGGUACGAAAGCGUGGGGAGCAAACAGG
rnacentral:rRNA from 1 species